rnacentral:rRNA from 1 species
AGUGAACGCUGGCGGUAGGCCUGACACAUGCAAGUCGAACGGCAGCACAGUAAGAGCUUGCUCUUACGGGUGGCGAGUGGCGGACGGGUGAGGAAUACAUCGGAAUCUACUUUUUCGUGGGGGAUAACGUAGGGAAACUUACGCUAAUACCGCAUACGACCUACGGGUGAAAGCAGGGGAUCUUCGGACCUUGCGCGAUUGAAUGAGACGAUGUCGGAUUAGCUAGUUGGCGGGGUAAAGGCCCACCAAGGCGACGAUCCGUAGCUGGUCUGAGAGGAUGAUCAGCCACACUGGAACUGAGACACGGUCCAGACUACUACGGGAGGCAGCAGUGGGGAAUAUUGGACAAUGGGCGCAAGCCUGAUCCAGCCAUACCGCGUGGGUGAAGAAGGCCUUCGGGUUGUAAAGCCCUUUUGUUGGGAAAGAAAAGCAGCAGGUUAAUACCCCGCUGUUCUGACGGUACCCAAAGAAUAAGCACCGGCUAACUUCGUG